CCUACGGGUGGCAGCAGUGGGGAAUAUUGCGCAAUGGGCGAAAGCCUGAAGCAGCGACGCCGCGUGAAGGAUGAAGGUCUUCGGGUUGUAAACCUCUGUUUGUAGGGAAGAAAAGUCCGUGACCUAAUCAGUAGUGAAUUGACGGCACCUGUAAAGGACGCACCGUCUAAAUCCGGGACAGCAGCUGCGGCAAUACGGCGGGUGCGAGUGUUAAUCGGAAUUACUGGGCGAAAAGGGCGCGUAGGCGGUAUGCCAAGCCAGAGGUGAAAUCCCCGGGCUCAACGAUGGAACUGCGUUUGAAACUGGCAAGCUGGAGUGUGUGGGAGGUAAGUGGAAUUCGUGGUGUAGGGGUGAAAUCCGUAGAGAUCAGGAGGAACACCGAUGGCGAAGGCGACAUUCUGGAACAUAACUGACGCUGAAGCGCGAAGGCGUGGGUAGCAAACAGGAUUAGAUACCCUUGUAGUC
rnacentral:rRNA from 1 species